AACGAACGCUGGCGGCAGGCCUAACACAUGCAAGUCGAGCGCGCCCUUCGGGGUGAGCGGCGGACGGGUUAGUAACGCGUGGGAACGUGCCCAGAUCUAAGGAAUAGCCACUGGAAACGGUGAGUAAUACCUUAUACGCCCUUCGGGGGAAAGAUUUAUCGGAUUUGGAUCGGCCCGCGUUAGAUUAGGUAGUUGGUGGGGUAAUGGCCUACCAAGCCGACGAUCCAUAGCUGGUUUGAGAGGAUGAUCAGCCACACUGGGACUGAGACACGGCCCAGACUCCUACGGGAGGCAGCAGUGGGGAAUCUUAGACAAUGGGGGCAACCCUGAUCUAGCCAUGCCGCGUGAGUGACGAAGGCCCUAGGGUCGUAAAGCUCUUUCGCCAGGGAUGAUAAUGACAGUACCUGGUAAAGAAACCCCGGCUAACUCCGUG
rnacentral:rRNA from 1 species